CCUCUGCAUCUCGCUUCGGCAAAUGGCCAUGCAGAUGUCCUUAGAUAUCUGCUAAGAAAGAACAGCCAGCCGAAUCUCGCUGACAACUUGAAGAGAACGGCACUGAUGAAGGCAGUACAGCAGGAGCAGGAAGAAUGUGUUGCUAUUCUGCUGGAACACGGUGCCGACCCGAAUCUGGCAGACGCUGGCGGCAACACUGCCCUUCACCUGGCUGUCCUGUCCAAAAAUACAGCUGUAGCAGGGCUGUUACUCGAGCAUAAUGCCAGUAGUGAUGCUCAGAACCAGAUGGGAUUUACUCCCUUAAAACUUGCAGCCCUCCUACAGCAUGAGGAGAUUCUGGAGUGCCUUCUGAAAAAAGCAGCGGACAGGCAUGCUCAAGCCCAAUU